rnacentral:rRNA from 1 species
GCUAACGCGUUAAGCACUCCGCCUGGGGACUACGGUCGCAAGACUAAAACUCAAAGGAAUUGACGGGGACCCGCACAAGCGGUGGAGCAUGUGGUUUAAUUCGAUGCAACGCGAAAAACCUUACCACUUCUUGACAUGGAGGUUAGAUCUUUCUUAACAGAAAGGCGCAGUUCGGCUGGACCUCACACAGGUGCUGCAUGGCUGUCGUCAGCUCGUGUCGUGAGAUGUUGGGUUAAGUCCCGCAACGAGCGUAACCCUCAUCCUUAGUUACCAGCGGGUAAUGCCGGGCACUUUAAGGAAACUGCCGGUGAUAAACUGGAGGAAGGUGGGGAUGAUGUCAAGUCAGCACGGCCCUUAUGGGGUGGGCUACACACGUGCUACAAUGGCGACCACAAUAGGUU